AUUGAACGCUAGCGGCAUGCCUUACACAUGCAAGUCGAACGGCAGCGGGCUCUUCGGAGUGCCGGCGAGUGGCGAACGGGUGAGUAAUACAUCGGAACAUACCCUAUAGUGGGGGAUAGCUCGGCGAAAGCCGAAUUAAUACCGCAUACGACCUACGGGUNAAAGGGGGGGAUCGUAAGACCUCUCGCUAUUGGAGUGGCCGAUGGCUGAUUAGCUUGUUGGUGGGGUAAAAGCCUACCAAGGCUACGAUCAGUAGCUGGUCUGAGAGGACGACCAGCCACACUGGGACUGAGACAUGGCCCAGACUCCUACGGGAGGCAGCAGUGGGGAAUCUUGGACAAUGGGCGAAAGCCUGAUCCAGCAAUGCCGCGUGUGCGAAGAAGGCCUUCGGGUUGUAAAGCACUUUUGUCAGGGAAGAAAUUGCUUAAGUUAAUACCUUGAGUCGUUGACGGUACCUGAAGAAUAAGCACCGGCUAACUACGUG
rnacentral:rRNA from 1 species